rnacentral:lncRNA from 1 species
AGAAAUUAAAAUUUUAAAGUUCUUAAAAGACACUUGUUAACAAAAUAAAUACAUUUUAAAAUCUGCCAAUGUUGUAAGAAUGUAAGUACGUAAAAUAACAAGUAAAUUAUAAGUAAAAGAGUUAAAUAAACAAAAUAUGUCUAAGAUAAGAAUCAGAAAACACAUAAGGGGCGAUAAGUAGUCUGGAGUUUGACUAAACCAGACAAUACCGAAAACUAAAUAAUGACUUAUGCGAGUAAAAGAAAUACAAAAUCUGCACAGAAAACAUAAGAAUAAAUACAGAAAUUAAAAAAAAAAAAAAGAACUGCGAUGAAAAUUCUAAACGUAAUGUUCCUAACCAAAUUGUAAAAUCGACAGCUCCAACAC